rnacentral:misc_RNA from 1 species
UAGGAAUUUGCAUUCGCGCAAUUAUUCCACUUAGAAGGAAUCUAGGGUGUGCUCUCUUCCUUUCUUUCUAAGCCUUGCCAAACUGCCUUUCUUCCCUCAGUUUGGAAUUUGCAUUCUCACACUUCCAAUUAGAAGGAAUCAAGGAUUACUCUCUUCCCUUCUUCCUUAACCCUACCAAACUGCCUCCAAAUGGCCGAAGGUUUCAUGGAUAAUUUGGCAAAGAUCAGAUACUCUCUUCUCUAUUCUUCUAUGAAGUUUGAUAUGCAUAUAUGCAUUACUAGUCCGUCAUCAUCUUUUUCAUUUCUUUUCUUUUCUGAAUGUUGGUAAUGAUUUUUGUUGUCUAAUUCCAGCCUCGAUGGAUCAGGUGGGACAUAAUUCUGUCUAUUAUUGCC